GGAAGGCCUGUAACCCAGUGGCAGAACAUCUGCAUCGCAUGCAGAAGGUCCCGGGUUCAAUCCUUGGCACCUCCA